UACACGGAUGUGGCUGCGAGGGAAGGACUUGGCCCGGCAUUGCUGCUGGCUUUGGAGUUGGACAAGGGGCUGUGAGCCUGGGAAUGCAGGCAGCACCUAGACACUGGCAAAGGGAAGGAAAUGGAUUCUCCCGCAGAGCGUCCAGAAGGAACCAGCUCUGCCAACACCCGGAUUUCAGCCCAGGGAGAGCAGCAUUGGACCCCUAACCUCCAGAACCGUAAGAUGAGAACCCGCGUUGUUUUGAGCCACUAAGUUUGUGAUCAUUUGUUUCAGCAGCCACAGGAAACCGACGCGGGGACCCUGAACUCAUACACAGCAAGUAAUGGCAGGACACAGCUGUCCCCUGUAGGGCGGGGAAGCGCGGGCAGAGCUGAGAGGUUUGGAAGCUCAGAGAACGGGUCUGCAGAGCUGGGGCCCGGAACUUUGGGGGCUGAACUGUUACUCUGGGACCGCUGAGGGCCCCGAGGGGGCUGGCUCGGGGAAUAUGGGCUGGCAUCAACCACCUGGUGCAGGUGAGCGCCCUGCAAGGCUGCGCCGACAGUAGAGCAACAGAGGAAGCUGCAAUUUCGCCCCUCUACAGCCUCAAAGCUUCCCGCUGCACGCUGGUAGCAAAACCUACACACAGUCAGCUUUCAAAGGAAUCACUAAAUUUCUCCCCUGAGAAGAUGGAACCCUUAGCUAAGGAGGAAGGCGCACAUCUUGCUCAAUCCUUUCAACCACCAGAUGAGGACUUCAGGCACAAACUGAAGGAAACACCUCCACAACCACACCUCUGACGAUUUAGCUGUGAAAGCCACCGCAGAUUUUGCUUAAAAGCAGGAUGUGGAAGAUAACAGCUGGGUGAUGUCUGGCUCUGCCUUGGAUCUGGGAUGAGAGUUGGACCAGAGAGUCACAACCCAGAAAGAUUUCACUCCCGCUGGAAUCCGACAGGACGCCUCCCCAGCCCCAGUGAGGCCUGGGGGAAUGGUCGACCUUGGCCUGGUCUGGCCACUCAGCCCGCAUCCCCAGAGACGCACAGGCAGGUGUUGGGCUGACUCCCCAAGGUGAGUGUGCGGAGACAAGGGAGGCUGAGUAGCUGGUGCGGCACCUCCAGUCAUGAUGAGGCUCCACCCCGGCAGGGGGCUGCAGGCUGUCCUCACCCCCCUCACCGAUCUUGCUCCUGGGAAAACCUAGAACUCCUGAUCUGAUUUUUUUUUUUUUUUUUUUUUUUUUUUUUGGU